rnacentral:miRNA from 1 species
GACUGCUCAGUUAAAUUUGCAUUUCAGAUCCACAACAAAUAUUUUUUAGCAUAAAUAUGGGACAUACAAUAUUUGGGACACACUUAUACUAAAAAAGCUUCAUUAUUUAUGUGAAAUGCAAUUUUAACUGGGC